UACAAAUUAGCACAGUUGUUACUGGCUUUAUGUAAUUCACUCUCAAAAUUCUCAUGGAAAGUGUAGGGUAUCUGAUACUUAAUUUUAUUGAUAAGCAAACUGGUUCAGGUUGCUUUUGAUUUUGUUCAGAAACACCCCAAUAAGUGAAAAAGCUAAAAAUAGAUUCUAAUUCCAGAUACACUUAGUCCAGUAUUUCAUUUUCUAAAGUUUAUUCAGCAUUUGAUUGAUAAGCCCCAUUAAUAAAGGGGAAUAACAAAUUUAUAGUCUGAAUUUUUGUGUCCCCCAGAUUCAUGUGUUGAAAUCCUAUUGCCAAUUUGAUGGUCUCAGGAGGUGGGACCUUUGGGAGGUGGUUAGGACAUGAGAGUGGAACCCUCAUGAUGGAAUUAAUGUUCUUAUAAAAGAGACCCCACAGAGCUCCCUAGUCCCUUCCACCAUGUGAGGACACAGUGAGAAGUCACCAGCCAUGAAACAGGAAGAGAGCUUUCACCAGAACGCAACCAUGAUGGCACCUUGAUCUUGGACUUCCAGCCUCCAGAACUGAAGGAGACAUGUACAACCAUUUGGAAUUUCUUGGCUUUGACCUGUCAAGUCUCUGCAGUCUUCAAGGAUGGUUGCUGUAGUUACGCCUACCAUCAUAUUCUCCAGUCGUACUUCUACAAUGUAAGCUUCUCUGAGACCACUUUUCAACCACAAUCUAUUACUGAUCUUCUGGUAACCUGCAUGCCUUGUAGCGCAAUUAAGUAUCAUUGUCAACCCCAUUUCCUGGAUGAAGUAACAAGAGAAUUUAAAGGAUUCAGUGGCUUGUCUAAAUCUAUGGAGGUAACAAGCAGUGGACCAAGGAUUCACCCAUGAAGAUAAAAGGGAGGCAGAGGAAGAUUUGAUACACAAAGAAGAGGAGGAGGUAAUGUGAUCACAAAGGCAGGCUGGAGGGAUGCAGCCACAAGCCAAGGAAUGCUGGCUGCCACCAAAAGCUGGAAGAGGCAAGGCCCAGAUUCUCCCUUACAGCCUGCAGAAGGAACACGGCCCUACUGACUCCCUGAUUUAGGCCCAGUGACACGGAUUGUGGACUUCUGUCCUCUCUAGGACAGUGAGAAGGUAAAUUUCU
rnacentral:lncRNA from 1 species